rnacentral:lncRNA from 1 species
AACAUCUUGCAGAUACUCAAGAGUAGAGUUUAUUGCAGUAAGUGGAAGUUAGCUCCCGGAGUUACUUCGUUUAGUUCCUCGUUAUUUUAGAAGUCUUGCUUUGAUCCUGUAACAUCAGGGUUGGGAAUAUUUGAUUAUUUUAUUCAUUUUGUGAUUUUGCUAACCGAGAGUCAUAUGUUAUACUCUUGACGUUUUGAGUUGAUGUUAUAGUGGAGACUUUUUCCAUAUGUUAUUAUGGGUUUAAUUAUUUAUUAUUUAC